AUCCCCAUCUAAAUGCUGGAGCGAGGAGUUAAAUUAUUCCAGAAGGCCCGCCAGGGUCUGAUUUGCCACUGUCUGCUUCCUCGUUGCCUUUGAAUGGGACCCUUGAUCCAAGGCUUUCAGAGACCAGCCGGUGCUGAUGGGGGUCCGUGACUUGGCGGUGGCGCCUGUUUGCUCCUUCUCUGUCUCGAGCAUGGUUUUCUAUCCUGCCGGGGAGGGCGAGAGCGCUGGGCAGAGGUGGCACCUGACCCGCUAGAACUCCGAUGUCACUGCUGUGGCUGUUACUCCCCUCGGCAAGAGUCAAGGCGCACGCAGGACGAUGGCUACAUCUUUUCUUCUGGAUACCACCAGAUCAUUCCAGCCACCUGCCUUUGUGGUGUCUCCAGACAAGGGCUGACAACCAUCGAAGCAUCGAAACCCUAAGGCUACUUGGAGAGAAGAAGACUGUCCCUGGAGAAGAGUCCUUCCUUGCCAUCUGGAUCUCCUAGCUUCCCCCUGAAGAGGAGAGAGAGAAAGAGCCAGCAGAUCUUCAGAAGAUAAUCACCACUAAAACUACGCAGCAUUACAAAUCUGUGAAACCAAACAUGGGUUUAACAGAU
rnacentral:lncRNA from 1 species